CCAAAGGCCCUCUUUAGGGCCACCAAUUGUUUUCUUGAAUUGUUGU
rfam:Strongyloides venezuelensis genome assembly, scaffold: SVE_scaffold0000004